rnacentral:rRNA from 1 species
UGAGGAAUAUUGCACAAUGGGCGCAAGCCUGAUGCAGAGACGCCGCGUGUGGGAUGAAGGGGCUACGCCUCGUAAACCACUGUAGCCCGGGACGAAAAACGCCUUAGAGGCGUUAGACGGUACCGGGAAAGUAAGGGUCGGCUAACUACGUGCCAGCAGCCGCGGUAAUACGUAGGACCCAAGCGUUGUCCGGAUUUACUGGGUGUAAAGGGUGCGCAGGCGGAUGGGUAAGUCAGGGGUGAAAGUCUGCAGCUUAACUGUAGAAUUGCCUUGGAUACUGCGCAUCUUGAGUGUGGGAUAGGUUGAUGGAAUUCCAGGUGUAGCAGUGAAAUGCGUAGAUAUCUGGAAGAACACCAGUGGCGAAGGCGGUCAACUGGCCCAUAACUGACGCUCAUGCACGAAAGCGUGGGGAGCAAA